rnacentral:rRNA from 1 species
GACGAACGCUGGCGGCGUGCUUAACACAUGCAAGUCGAACGGAAAGGCCUUGCUUUUUUGGGGUGCCCGAGUUGCUAACGGGCGAGUAACUCGUGAGUAACCUGCCUUCGCCUUUGGGAUAACCUCAGGUAAGUGGGGCUAAUUCCGGCUAGGAGCGCCCGCUUUAUGGCGUGGGUUGGAAAGUUGCGGCGGCUGGGGAUGGUCACGGGGCUUAGCAGGUUGUAGGUGAGGUAGUGGAUUACCAAGGCGUGGACGAGUCGCCGGACUGGGAGGGUGACAAGCCCCAUUGGGAUUGGGAUGCGGCCAGUACUCCUUCGGGAGGCAGCAGUGGGGGAUAGAGGAAGAUGGGCGGAAGCCGGAAGGAGCAACGCCGCGUGGGGGAUGACGGCCUUCCGGUUGUAAAGCGCUUUUGCCUAUGAGGAAGCGUGAGUGACGGUAAUGGGUAAAGAAGCACCGGCUAACUACGUG